GUCCAACUUGGGUAACAUAGUGAGACCCCAUCUCUUAAAAAAAAAAAAAAAAAAGGUCUGUCCAAGCCCAGACAAAGUCUUCACUCCUUCCCGAGGCCCGAGGAAGCCCUCUCUCCCCAGACAUGGCCAAUAAGGGUCCUUCCUAUGGCAUGAGCUGCGAAGCUCAGUCCAGAAUUGAGAAGAAGUACGACAAGGGACUGGAGGAACGGCUGGUGGAGUGGAUCAUAGUGCAGUAUGGCCCUGAUGUGGGCUGCCCAGACCGUGGGCGCCUGGGCUUCCAGCUCUGGCUAAAAAAUGGUGUGAUUCUGAGCAAGCUGGUAAACAGCCUGUACCCUGAUGGCUCCACGCCAGUGAACCUGCCCGAGAACCUGCCCUCCAUGGUCUUCAAGCAGAUGGGGCAGGUGGCUCAGUUCCUGAAGGCAGCUGAGGACUAUGGGGUCACCAAGACUGACAUGUUCCAGACUGUUGACCUCUUUGAAGGCAAAGACAUGGCAGCAGUUCAGAGGACCCUGAUGGCUUUGGGCAGCUUGGCAGUGACCAAGAAUGAUGGGUACUACCGUGGAGAUGCCAACUGGUUUAUGAAGAAAGCGCAGGAGCAUAAGAGGGAAUUCACAGACAGCCAGCUGCAGGAAGAAAAGCAUAUCAGGGCAGCAACAGAGGGGCCUCCCAGGCUGGCAUGACAUGCUACAGACGACCUUGGCAGAUCAACAGCCCUGCCCUCCCCCAGCUCCUUGGCUGCAGCCAUCCCGCUUAG